AGAAUCGAAACUGAGAGCUCCUGGGCAGGCUCGGCAGGGCAGGCAGCUCCAGGAGGACUUCGAACCGUGGCCAACAGUUCCAGUGGACCGCGUGGACCCGUGAGCUCAGGAGCCUCAGACGCCUCCCCGGAGAGCCAAGCUGGUGUUCGAGGUGGCGCCUCCAGGGUCCACCCUGCUGCCCAACAGCCCCGCGGCCACCAGAGGGCCGUCCCUGGCCCGGCUGUGUGCCCUGGUGGACCUGUGUCUGGGCUGCUCCCGCUGCACCCAGCGGCUCAAUGAAAGCACCUACGUCCUCCGUAGGGUGGAGCAUGACUGCUCCCGCGAGAUCCUGCUGGCCCGCUUUAAGCAGGCCACCAAGAGCAAGGUCUGGCGUGUGGUGGGCUGCCGGCCCACCUUCCCAAGGCCCCUGUGCUACCAAGUCUGCCACUACUACAGCCCUGGGCUCGGCUGCCGGCGCCACCGAAACCGGUGCACCUUUGCCCGCAGUCGCGAGGAGGCCCUGGUCUGGACCUUCGAGCGUCAGCACAACCUCCAGCGCCUAUGGCUGAAGGCAGAGGUGCAGGGCCGCGGGGCCCAGGGAGGGGCAGGCCGGGCGGCCGACGCCAUCCUUACGGAGUUUGGUGGCCGCUUCGAGCUGCUUUGCUCCCUCUGCUUCAGGCGCUGUCCCCCACGCAUCUGUCGCGUGGACCCCCAGGGGCAGUGCCCUGAGCACGGAGCCUGCCCCUCCCUCCUGGCCCAUGUGAGCGCCGAGGGCCGCCGCAAGCAACAGUUUGUGGCGGUGAGGCCGCAGCCCCGGGCCGGCCAGCCUCCUGCCUACUGCAGGUUUGUGGGGCGUGGGCAGCCGUGCUGGCGUGGGGAGUCCCGCUGCCAGUUCGCACACAGCGCCGUGGAGAUGGCUGUGUGGGAGGCCGAGCAGCUGGGUGGCCUCCAGCGGGGGGACCUGCUCACAACCCCUGCCCCUGAUGGUGACGGGCGCACGGCCCCCCUUGGCCAGCCCCCUGGGGCCCAGCUGUACUGCCCGGCCUGCUUGGUCACCUGCCACUCUCAGGAGGCCUUCGAGAACCACUGCGCAUCCUCGGAGCACGCACAGAUGGUGGCCUUCGACCAGGCCCUGCCCUGGGAGCACCGUUCCCCACCCCCGGGACUCUCCAAGUUCGAGCUCUGCCCAAAGUAAGGAUACUCGAGGCAGGAGCUUGGAGUGGGGCAGGAGCCCACCAUGGGCAGAGCCAGAGGUUCCCAGGAGCUUGGAGUGGGGCAGGAGCCCACCAUGGGCAGAGCCAGAGGCUCCCAGGAGCUUGGAGUGGGGCAGGAGCCCACCGUAGGCAGAGCCAGAGGUUCCCAGGAGCUUGGAGUGGGGCAGGAGCCCACCAUGGGCAGAGCCAGAGGCUCCCAGGAGCUUGGAGUGGGGCAGGAGCCCACCGUAGGCAGAGCCAGAGGUUCCCAGGAGCUUGGAGUGGGGCAGGAGCCCACCACAGGCAGAGCCAGAGGCUCCCAGGAGCUUGGAGUAGGGCAGGAGCCCACCAUGGGCAGAGCCAGAGGCUCCCAGGAGCUUGGAGUGGGGCAGGAGCCCACCGUAGGCAGAGCCAGAGGUUCCCAGGGGCUUGGAGUGGGGCAGGAGCCCACCACAGGCAGAGCCAGAGGCUCCCAGGAGCUUGGAGUAGGGCAGGAGCCCAACAUGGGCAGAGCCAGAGGCUCCCAGGAGCUUGGAGUGGGGCAGGAGCCCACCACAGGCAGAGCCAGAGGCUCCCAGGAGCUUGGAGCAGGGCAGGAGCCCACCGUAGGCAGAGCCAGAGGCUCCCAGGUUCAGUGGACGGGGGCCUCCCUGCCACCUGCUGAGGGCUAAAGCCAUGUGGCCUCUGAGGACCCGGAUAAGGGAGGUUCAUGUUUGGGAACUGCUUGAGCCAGGCCUUGUCCUGGGAGCACAGGAGUGGGCGGGACGAAUAAAGCCCCUGCUCCCUACAGAGGCCAGUAUUGGGCUGAGGGGGUCCCGGCCUUUGAACUCAGCACAGCGGCUGUGCCUCCGUGUAGCCCUGCCGACCUCCCUGUCCCCCAGGCCUGACCUCUGUGAGUAUGGGGACGCCUGCACCAAGGCACACUCAGCACAGGAGCUGCAGGAGUGGGUUCGGCGCACGCAGGCUGUGGAGCUGCGGGGGCAGGCGGCCUGGCAGGACGGGCUGGUGCCCUACCAGGAGCGGCUGCUGGCCGAGUACCAGCGCAGCAGCAGUGAGGUCCUUGUGGUAAGUGGGCCCUGGGAGUGGGUGGGGUGGGGUGGGGUCCAGGCCUCUUGCUGAAGGCUAGACUUCCACGCAGCUGGCAGAGACCCUUGAUGGAGUGCGUGUCACCUGCAACCAGCCCCUGAUGUACCAGGCCCAGGAGAGGAAGACCCAGUACAGCUGGACGUUUGCCGUCCACUCUGAGGUGAGCGGAGAGCAGCUCCGACUGGGCGGAGGGAGCCCUGGGGAAGUGGUGACUUCAGCCCGGGCAGACGUCGACAGCCUGGGUCAUGGAGCUAAGACCGAGGCACUGCCGCUCAGCACCUGCGUGACCUGCAGCAGGUCCCUUAGCCUCUCUGCCUCAGUCUCCUCACCUAGAGACAGGGGGCCAGGACAGUCCCACCUUGGCAGGGUUAUUCUAUGGAGUAUAUGGGUUAAAACAAGGAUUUGGCCAGGUGCGGUGGUUCACGCCUGUAAUCCCAGCACUUUGGGAGACCGAGGCAGGUGGAUCACCUGAGGUCGGGAGUUCGAGAUCAGCCUGGCCAAUAGGGCGAAACUCCGUCUCUACUAAAAAAAAAAAA
rnacentral:sRNA from 1 species